rnacentral:rRNA from 1 species
UACGGGGGGGGCAAGCGUUGUUCGGAAUUACUGGGCGUAAAGGGCGCGUAGGCGGCUUGCUAAGUUGAAUGUGAAAACUCUGGGCUUAACCCAGAGCCUGCAUUCAAUACUGGCAGGCUAGAGUUCUGGAGGGGAUAGCGGAAUUCCUGGUGCAGCGGUGAAAUGCGUAGAUAUCAGGAGGAACACCGGUGGCGAAGGCGGCUAUCUGGACAGAGUCUGACGCUGAGGCGCGAAAGCUAGGGGAGCAAACAGG